AAUAUUGGAAGUUUUACUGUAAUCACUUUGCGUAUUUUCAGGAUUUUUUUGGAAAAUUUUUAUUCAUUUUUUGAAAAUAUUUACACAAAUUUUCUUUUUUUUUUUUUUAAAGAAAACUUUUAAGGAAUUAUUGGAAUUUUUUUCGGGGCUGCACAGUGGUGUAGUGGUUAGCACUUUCGCCUUGCAGCGAGAAGGUCCCCGGUUCGCGUCCCGGCUUUCCCGGGAUCUUUCUGCAUGGAGUUUGCAUGUUCUCCCUGUGCAUGCGUGGGUUUUCUCCGGGUACUCCGGCUUCCUCCCACAGUCCAAAAAUAUGCUGAGGUUAAUUGAUCAUUCUAAAUUGCCCGUAGGUGUGAAUGUGAGAGUGAUUGUUUGUCUCUGUAUGUAGCCCUGUGACAGACUGGUGACCUGUCUAGGGUGUCCCCUGCCUUCACCUGAGUCAGCUGGGAUAGGCUCCAGCCCCCCCAUGACCCUAGUGAGGAUUAAGCGGUGUAUAGAUGAUGGAUGGAUGGAUGGAAUUUUCUUCCUGAAGGUUUUGCAAAUUUUCAGAAAUUUGGGGAAUUUUUUUGCUGAAUUUUUGUGGGGUUUUUUUUCAGACAAGGAAACAAUAUUUUUUGGUGCCCAUAAGUGAAGACAACAGGAGGGUUAAGGCAUUCUUUUUGAGGAAUCAGUGCUUUUGGACUGAAGAUGAACCCUCCAGCAGGGUCAAUGCUCUAGCUUCGUAAUUUUAACUAAAGUGGUCCAAAUCCACACCAGAACUUAAUGAGAAUUGUUCCUGUGCCUGUGCUCCACCUCUCCACCAGUAUUUGUAAAAUUCAGCAUGGUUCUUUUUGCAUAAUCUUGAUGAUGCACAACCAGAGAGCAACAAAAGCAAACAUCUCUGAUCACGUCCCGAUGCCUCGACUCUCGUCUUAUUGGAGCAAAACGAUCAAGUUAUUAGAACUACUGUAAACUGUUGCUUGUGGAUUUACUUCAGCAACAUGGAAAGCUCAUGCCUGAAAGUGUCACAACUGGUGAGUGUCACUUUGGCAUUAAUCCUAUAUUUAAGCUGGUCCUUGGCGCAAAAACGCCACUUCUGAUGGCCGUGAUGGACAGAAGCAGCGAUUACACUGACAAACUGUUGCAGUGUCUGUGCUACAGGGAUGUAAUCAGUAAAUACUAUGACUUCACUCCAUCCACCCUCACCAGACAGGUAGUCGGAGCCAAAGGAAGGUUGUCCCGGCGGGUCCUGGCGUCCACCUGACAUCAUUGAUGACAUCAUCCCCGGACCUACAGGAGACAAAAGAGCGUCGUCACGACCAGCUUCAACCGUGAGGCAAGCAGACACAACAUGUCGCCGAGGGGACUAUCACCAUGGUUACGCAAAAAAGAGGACGACAGCAUCUGCGGUUCCCCUGGCAACCCUCACUGUUGGCAGACGUGUCUCGGAUGAUCGAUGAUUGUGCGCCACCCGCUGAGGUCGACACACACCAUGACGCACAAAAUACACAAAAGCUAAAACUAAAAUACAUGUUUAGCAUCAUUAUUAGAGGCAGGGGACUUCCUCAUCUCCUUUAAGUGCAGCAGGAUGAAAGAAAUCGAAGAGAUGACAGAAUCUAUCGACUAAAGCAAAGUGAGGAUUUGCACUGCCGACUCCAUUAACUCCCAUUAAGCAGAACUGGAAUAAAACUGAUCAUUAACAUAACAAUAAAACACUGUUACCAUCUAAAUAAUACAACAGCUACUUCAUCAGGAGCCAUUACAGAACUAGAUUGAUGCUAAGCACUGAUUGUGCUGUUAUGAUGACCACUGAGCCAUGUUGACCAUUAAAAAGUCAGCUGCAACACAAUGAGACCGACAACGUCCGCGUUGAUGAAAAUAAACCACCAUCAUAUUUAAUUACCAGCAGUAAACAAAAACCAAACAAUGUGUCCUUCACUAAUGUGCUAUCUGCUAAAGGCUGAUGUAAUGGAUUUCAUGAGACCCGGCUGAGUGCUUCCGUGUAAAACAACACAACACAGUCACAGUGCAAUUUGUUAUUACUGUGCUGAGUUGUUGCAUCAAAAGAAGUCAGUCAUUGGUGUUUAUUUACAGAACCAUUCUAUGUAUUGUUCCUUCAUAUUUGUCUUUUUUUUUAAACAAGGAAACAUGGAAGUCUCAAUCCCCGAUCUGUGGAUACUCUGCAAAACACUUAAGGGUUAUGUAAAAGUAGUGAAAAACACAAUACAACAUACAGAAAGUAGAAAACUACUCAGAAAACUCUAUUAAAGGACAUUAUUAUUAUUAUUAUCAUGCAGAAAAAAAUUUAUAUAUUAUAAUGUUAGAUUAUCAUGAUGUAUGCUGCUUUCAACAUUGCAGCCCCAUGAUAAAUGAACACACCACAUCUGCUCAUUAAGGCCGCUACAGUGGGUGUGUAGGUGAUUUUCUAUGUGGAUUUUUGUUGUUAAAGCUGCAGGUGAUAAAAAUCUGAGCCAGUGUUCGGAAUUAUGCAGCCUUCCUCCUCCUGCAGCUCUUUUCUUUCCCCUCUUUAUUUGAACUCUCUCUACCACAUGAACGUGAAACUGAAACCAAAAGCCGACUUUCAUGGGGGUUCCCACGGGGAUUCAAACCCUGCUCUUGAAGUCCUUCAUCAAACCCACUGUUCCACCACAUCCAGCCCUGUAAUUGGUUGAAAUCUCCCAUCACUGGCUGGACUUUAUAAAGCCUGAAAAUGAAGCCAGAAGUCUAGUUUGCUCUCAGAACCACCAGAGAUAGAUAGAUAGAUAGAUAGAUAGAUAGACCAUAGAUAAAUAGACUAUAGAUAGACUAUAGAUAGAUAGACAGACUAUAGACUAUAGAUAGAUAGACUAUAGAUAGAUAGAUAGAUAGAUAGAUAGAUAGACUAUAGAUAGAUAGAUAGAUGCAGAUAGGUGAUAAGUGCAUCAAAGAGUUUGCAUUUAAAAUCUGAAAGACUGCUAGCAAUUACAGUUGUCACAAAAGUGCAGUUAAGUAACCCAGAAAGUACAAUAUUUCUCCACGAAAUGUAGAGGAACAAGUACAAUUAUCUCAUAUUGUUGUUAUAUUCUGUGUCUGAGUAAAUGUAACUGUCAGAUAUUGUCUGAGGUUUAUGCUUGGAAUAUUUACAUACAUAAAUACUAUGUUGAUCUGUUGUAAUCCAUUCUAAUAUCGUACACUGAUGUCUUUGUCUCUUCCCCAGCUGCUGUAUCUGUCCGUGGUCCUGAAAUAUCUCAAGUGAAAACAGACCAUGUAGCCUACAACUAAAACUAACUGUGCAUAUUACGCAUGGCUACUUUCUAUUGAGACACAAGCCACAUACAGUUAUUGCUCCUUGCACACCUGAAAGCAGCAUUUUGGGCUGAAAAUCAGUUUUCUAUCAACUGUAUUCAGGAGAAAUGAGGACACGCAUUCCUGGCAGUGGACCAGUACCAGUGUGAUGGUGGAGAUCAUGAAUAAUUAAUACGUGAGGGGGGUUUAGGUGAGCUGCAUGUAGUGUGUUUGGUGGAGCCACUGUUUUUGUUUGUGUCUAUUUUUGCUUUUAUAACAGCGCGCACACACACACACACACACACACACACACACACACACACACACACACACACACACACACACACACACACACACACACACACACACAGAUGUACAAACAAGCAGCAGACACAUGAACUGCAGAGUCAUUCCAGACACAAUGCUGCUGGAUUCUUUUCUCUCUCGUUGUGUUUUGUCACAACAUUAAGUUGAACUAAUUGGCAUUUAAAUACCAGAUGAAUGAAUACUGAUACACUGAUACUGCCCUCUAGACCACUUAUGCUCCUUCACAACCAUGUCAAAUUAUUUCAUUAAUAUAUUUUAAUUAAAAACAAGUGAUGGUGGAAUGGUGAUGAAUGGGUGCGAGCUAUAUGGUUUGUUGCCCACAUUACAUUACCUUGGUACUGUGCACACUUAAAAAACAAAGAAAAAAAGGGGAAAAAAAUUGUAAGAAAAAAAAGGUACCACAAAAAUACAUUACAAAAUGCUGGAAAAAUUCAAAAAAUGGUGAAAACAAUGGCAAAUGUCUGUAUAAUAAUGACAUUUUCUUCAGAUUUCAUAAUUUAUAUUAAUAAUAAUGUAUUAAUGUGUACUUUGCAGUCAUAUUAGAAAAAUUGACAUUAUUAGACAUGCAUGUAGACAUUAUGUACAGCUAUGGCCUGUUUUUGUUUGUGAUAGUUACAUGUAAAUAAUAAUUUUUUUCUGUGAUUGUGCAAGCGGAUAACAACACAGAGAAAUUAUGUAAAAUAACAGCACAUUGUGCAAAACAUUACAGUGAAAAACUGUUGAAAAACCUUCAUUUUUUUAAGAGUAUAAACACCAAAUUAUUUAAAUUUUUCCCACCCACACAGAAUAAACAACCACUGAACCAUGAGGAGAUAUUCGCUGAAUUUUGACUAAAAAUAUAUUGGAGUAGAAUCACAAAUUCCACCUUAAUUUAUAGAAGAUAUUUGUCAGAUAUCACAAUGAGUUAUUAUACUCAAACUAAUCAGCCUGAUUUUAUCAUAAAUGCAGUCACGCUAACAGGUAUGUGUCAUGUGUGUGCUGCGUGUAAAUGUGGUCAGAUUGAGAAGCGAAUGAAUGGAUGAACCUCAUUCUGGAUGCGUGAGCUGCUGUUGGUCUGAAAAGUUUGCUUUGCUGAUGUCGCUUCACUGCUUGUUCUUUUUUCUGUCUCUGUCAGACAUUUAUAUAUACACACACACACACACACACACACACCCCUACACACACACACACACACACACACACACACACACACACACACGCCAUGUGCGUGCAGAUCCAGCCAGAACCCAGACAGUCCUCUGAGGACAACAGUCAGUAUCAAGCCUCGAGGUCAAACACCUUUUUUCUUUUCCCAAACAUUAUUUUUAUGUCUUUUCUGCAUCACUGCACUGGAAGCUCUUCCAAACUUUCUCCCGGCAGAGAAAAGUCAAAACACAGAAGCAGGGAACCACCACCUAACCAGGCCUCACUGCGUAGUCUGAACAAAUCCAGCCUGAUGGGCUUCCCACUGUGCUGGGUACACGCUGGUGUUUGGCUGUUAUAGAAGAGGAAAGAAGUUGGAUAAAACAACAACUGUGAGCCUGGAGAUUUGCUUUUCAAGGUGAAGAUCUGAUCAGAUCUGAGGAGAUUUUCUUCGCAGGUGAAAGUGUCAGUCACAGCGCUACAACGUGCUAACAGGUAAAUUUAUAUAAUUGCGGAACAUUUUGUGUAAAUCAUUUUCGUUGUAUAUUUAGUUUUGUUUUUAAGUGCCCCUUUGGAUCACUAACCACAAGUUGAAGGUGACUCACUUCAUUCAGUUUAUUGAUUGCUUUGCGCCCUGUUUCCUGAUAACAAUCAGUCUUUGAAAUGACUCAUUCUCAGUUCCUCCGGCAGGUUCUAAAAAGGAGUAGAAAACACUUUAUAGUCUACGAUAUUUUUUAAAAACACCUUAAGCAGCUCCAGGAGGUUCGUAAGAUGGAUUUUACCAUCAUUUUAGCUUUAAGAUGGUCAAGGGAACUUAGUUUUGUCAUAACCUUGUAACCUAGAAAGUUGUUCAUAAUAUAAAGAAAAGAGAAAUUCUCUCUGAAAUGUGCAAAAAUUCCUAUAUAUAUAUAUAUGAAAAUACCAACAUUUAUCAUAAUGUCACGAUUAUCAUGAUGAACAUGAAAAUAGUUUCUUCUUAAUCCAUUGAAUAUAAAAUCCUACAGACAAGUGCUUCAUUACACUCAUAGAAAAGUUAUAUAACAAUCCAAUAUAUCCAGAGAGCUGUGCUGCCCAUUAAUGUGCAAUCUUAACAUUAUAAAUAAUAUCUGAUUACCACCAAAGAUGAUUACACCUUAGUAAUAAAUUGUCUCAGUCAUACUUGUGUCAGAAUUAGUUGCUUUAACUUGCCUGUAACUUCAAGAAAGCACCAAUGGUUCUCUUACAACUCUCCGUAUUCCAACACUGGAAAAGAGAAUCAGUGUUAUUUCACUGAAACUGUACAGGCACCUAAAAAACAGUUCCAAUAGAGCUGAAACAUAUUGUUGCGGUAAAGGCCCAGAUAACUACAUGCUUUUCCAAAGCGGCAACCUCUGCCCCAAAAGCUGCAGUUCCUCCAAUGUCCACUUGAGGGUGGCUUUAAAAUCAAGUCAAUCCCUAUUAACCCUAAAGUUAAAAAGUCCAACUUUACAGCAGAAACAAACAUGUUUACAGCCUGGUACAUAAACAAUCACAGUCUUUACAGCUAAUUUUCCCAUUUAUGACUACUGUACAGAGGGUGAAUUUUUAUAUAACUCACCCAUUUAAAUUGUAUUAAAGCUAAAAAUUAGGCAUAAGAAAGAACAUGACCACUUUCACUGACAGAUGAAUGCUGUUACAGAACGGUCCACAGCCCGCAGAUGCUUGUUUAGCUUGACUUAGCUCCACUCACGCUCCACCUCUUUGCUCAUUUAUUAAUUAGCUGAGGGUUAGGAGUCACGCACUGCAAAGACAGCGAUAGUUGGAGUCAUCAAACUGAGCUUCAGAACUGCUGUUUGGAAAACCUACAGUCAAGCUGAUGUCAAACAGAAUGCGUCUGUCUUUAUAUGGCGUCAAUGUGAAACUGUCAUUAGAGUGAAAGAGAAAUUGUCAUUUUUGGGCUUUUUCACAGAAAGUCUAGGAGAUGAGAGGAUCUAAUCAAAGAAACUCUGUAGAUCCAGUUGCAUCAUGGGAAUUUUGCAAAUGGGAAUCCACAGUUUUGAGUUCAAGAGACUUAAAGCCUUUGUAUCAUCAGACAGACUCUCUCUGUUGGGUUACUGAAGCUGCUCAACUUCCCAAAAAACUGUUCUGGUAAAGAUGAACUAUUCUGUUGCCUUAAAAGAGAAGAUAUAUCAGCAUUUCUUUUAAAAUAUUUGUCUUGUUCAAGCCCUAAACCUCUGUGAACAUGCAAAUGUCUGACAUACCCCUUUAGCUUGUUCACAUACUGCAGCGUCCAACUCCAACAUUUGUUCUAGGGCGUCGGAGUGCAGGACUGUCUGCUGUGCAGAACCUCUGGGGCGGUUUAGGCCUUGAUAAAGUGGACUGUUUGAUAAAGUGUGGAGGUGAUACAACCACCAAGACUGAAACCAGAUGUCCUCUGGCUCACAGCAGGAGAACAGCUCCCAGAUGAGGGCAGUCAGCCUCCAAGCAAACCUGCUGCUGCUGCAUUUACUUAAACAUCUCACGGGUCAGUUACAGUUUAGCAACAAGGUCAGGAUGAAACAGUCUUAUCUGCUCUCAAUGUCCUGCUAAUAUUAGUGGGAUGUUUCAUGCAUUCAGAUCAUCUUAAAUCGAUCGGCUCAAAAUGUUUAACGUUAAAUUAAUGAAAACAUUACAAAAUAAAAUAAAUAUAUGACUGAACAAAAUGCCUGACCAAAGGGGUGACCAAAUCAUUUUUCACGUUUGCAUGUAGCGAAACAUUCCCAUUACAGAGGUGGAGAUGACACGGCAGAGUUCACUAAAAGGAUCGGCUGUACAGUCAGGUCCAUAAAUAUCUGGCCAUUGAUUAUGUUAGUUUGUCCAAUUACUUUUGGUCCCAUAAAAAGGUGGGGGUGAUGCAUAAAAUGUUGUAAUUCCUGCACCAUUCACCUGAUUUCGGUGUCAAUUCUCUGAAUUCAAAGUGAAAAGUCUGCACUUAAAGCACAUCUGGACUGUUUCAUUUCAAAUUGUGUCAAUGUCGAAAUAUUUAUGGACCUGGCUGUAUUUUGGCUGAAAGUAAUCCAUUAAAAUGUGCUUCUCUGCUGAUCCUGACAGGUUAAACUCAGGACAUCCCGACAUUUUACCCCCAACAACCUCAGUGAAACACCUUUGUCCAUCAUAAUCCAUUAACUGCCCUUGACCCGUCCCUGAUCCCGGUUACGUGCAGAUAAUAUAGCCUUCAUAUGUUGCCAAUAAUCCUUCUCUCUGAGCCAAGGACAGCAGAGGUUAGUGUCAAACCACAGCAUCCCAUCUUCAGUCACAGCUGUCACUGUCUCUGGAGAUACACAAGCACUUAGAUGGAGCAGGAGAAUAAGAGGGGGAGGACAGAGGAGUGAAGGAGACAGUGGACAGCAAUGGGGCAGAUAAACAGAACAAGGUCAGGUAAUGGAAGUACUGAGCUAUUAGCGCUCAUAAAGGACUAAUGUUUUUUAAAUUGAAAGCAAUUAUGCUUGAAACAUUUUAUUAUUGCUUAAUGUUGGCGCAACUGCAGUGAAUAAAUACAUGGUGGUCAUGAGUGGCAGUGAACUGUGGGACAAUUAAAAGCAAAGUUGCUCCCAUUUGUUUUCUAAAGGAUGAGGUUACAUUUUCCUUGCUGUCAACACUGUGAAGGAGGUGGAAGUCUGUCUCUUUAUACAUUCUGUCUUCUCUGUCUAGUUUAUGCCACUUAGCCCAAGUCCAAUGACUGUAAACUGUAAAAGGAAUGUAAAAUUAUGUGAAUCCAAGCAUGUCCACCAGGUGGCGCUGCGACUGAGAGUGUAUUUCGGUCUAUGUAUCUGUUAAAGGCUGGACUCUGAUCACACAUGUAAAGUUUGAGGCAGAUUGGAGCAUGUACAGGCUAGUUAGACAGCAUUUCCUGUUUUAUGGCGAAAAGUCGACAUUCCAGAGGCUGCCAUUUCCACAUCCUCAGAUUUUUGGGGAGCAUUUUGAUAACUUUUGAUCACCCAUGCCUGGUGUAUAUCUUGGCCAAAUUUCAGCUCUGUCGUGAUUGCAACAUUUGAGUUGGUAGCUUUUGAAAACGUGCAAAAAUUGGUCCAAAAUCUUCCAAAAUAUGACACAUAAUUCAAAGUGGCUGACUUCCUGUUGUGUUUUGGGCAUGAUUGUAAUAGACUUUUUGUGUGUCUUGAUGUGUUACAUAUGUGUACCAGCUUUCAUCACUGUAGAUGACAUGUACUGGCUGUAGUAAAUUUUUGAAAUUUUCCAGGUGGUGCUAUGGAGCCAUUUUGGUGCACACUGAUGCAAUUCCUCUAAAACAUCAAAAGUUGCAGAGUUUCGGAGUAUUUCUAGGUUGCCAAAUUUGAGUUUCAAAAAAUGGUAAAAGAAUCUCGGAAUAAUAAUAAAUCUAUGGGUUUCAUUAGGGUCUUCACACCAUUUGGUGCUUGGACCCUAAUUAAGGAUUUAAUUUUGAAAAAGGCCCUCAGUUUGGACCAAACUUCACACAACAAAGAACAGAUAAUACAACUGUGGAAGACGAUGAAUUUGAGGACAGUUUUGGGGACUAUUUUUGGCAGCAGGAUAGGGUUUCCUCUGGGUCCGGUGCUGCCUAUAAGUGCCAUUUCCAUGAGGAUUGAACAACUCCUCAGCUACUUUUUUUGGGCAGAUCAGAGAGUUGAUAAUAUCGGUCUGCUGGCUGUGAUCAAUGAGCGAAUGAUGGCAGCAGCAGAUUCGAUUGAACAAUCAGCAUGUGGACAGAAAGAUCAUCACUGAUCACUGUUGUUUGUCCAUGGAACUCUUCUGUUAUCUCCCAAACAGAUUGUACAGGGGGUCCUCAACUUAGGUCGGAGUUCCAUUCCUACGAUGUGACGUAAAUCGAUUUUCGCCGUAAGUCGGAACUCAAAAGCCGUUACAUGCAUCACAAUAUCGAUCAGUUUACAUAUUUGUACAACUACAGUAACGAGAAACAGUCAGUAGCUUACACUGAAACACAAUUCGGUGGGAAAAUACCGCCGAAAAUGUAAACUGUAAAUCUGACUACCACUUGGGAGCCAUAAAGAAAUUAGCGAAUGCAGCAUAAUCCAGUAUGGCGGCAAAUAUAAACAAAACUGUCUUAUAGCGCUGGGUGACUACUGUACAUACAGUAUUCAUCUGCUCUGCUCGCCAACUAGUUCCACUGAACCAGUUCCGACGUAACAACGAAAUGCCGUACAUUAAACAGAGGACCACCCCGUAAGCACUUCCGACAUAACGCCGAAACGACUUAAGUCAAGGAUGUCGUAAACCGAGGACCUCCUGUAUUUUCAUCGUCACUUGUUUGUCAGCAACAUUAAGCAAAACCAACCAUCAAAACUAUACUAGAAUUUAAAUUUGCGCUUGUUGAAACUUGGGGCACUGCCUACAAUAAUAGAAAUAGGUAAACGAAUCAAUCAAGUCUCAUAAUCAAAUCAAAAAUUGGGAACUCUUGAUACAUGGAUCUCUGGGUUUUGCUUUAGAGCAACACAGAACCACGACUUGGCGAUAAGUUAGGGUAUUUACAGUAAAAAUCUACAUAAGCAAGUGAACAACUGAAUAAAUAAGUCAGUCAUUGUGAACAUACCAUAACAAAGUCAGAAUGUAGACUGCACCUCAUUAUUGUUCUGCUUGUUUGUAUUUCUGGUAAAUGGUCGUAUUUCCAUGCAGUGAGGCGAGUAGCGUCAUUAAAACUGGUCAUUGACCAUAAAAUGCCACCUGUACAUGGGAUUUAUCAAGACUAAAAACACAGAUAUUGCCAUCUUUUCCAAUAUGAAACUAUCUUCUGAAAAUUUGCAAAACCUUCAAGUAGAAAAUUCCUUAAAAAUUUCCCUUAAAAGUUUUGUUUUAAAAAAAAUCCCCCAAAUUUGCCAAGAAAAUUCUUGUAAAUAUUUUCAAAAAAUGAGUAAAAAUUUUCCAAAAAAAAUUC